UCUGCCUACAGGAGGCGAAAGUGAAUGAGCAUGGACACCUCCUGAAGAGACUCAGUUAUAAACACAGGGGAGGGCCUGGUUUGGGCCAUUGGGUCACAUUUUCCUGGUCCAAGUUUUAUACUAAUCUGUGGCAAGUUCUGCUUGGUGAUCACCGUAAGGCUCUUGGAUCUUAGAGAAUGAAAAUCUGCUGCUACACGGCGGUCCCGGCAAGACUGGGCUGCCUUCCAGGUCUGCGCAUGCACAGACUGUGAGGCAGCAUCCAGGAGAGUGGGCCUGGCACUCUCCAGUUUCCAGAAGGAAUCGCAAAUUCCCUUCCUCUGCAGAUAAAGGAACAAUUGGACCGACCACAGGGGACUUACUGGAAAGUAAAGCGGGGUCACCAGGAAGGAACAGAGAUUUGCUUCUCAGUCACAAUCCUCGCAGUCUGGCCAGGAGUCUAUCAGCCCCGGAAAGAUGGACUCUGAUUCCUCUGAGGACUACAGGAACCAAUGCGUUUAGGCCCCAGCAUCUUUAAGUCAUUAUCACACCUUGAGAGGUCACACCACCAAACACAGGAACAUGAGGCCCCCAGCUAAGCCCCAUGAUGGAUAUGGCAGGACCUUUGAACUGAGACAUGACUUCACCCUGAAACUUUUCCCCUGAGGGAAGCUAAGCCCGCAGGGUGACCUGGUCCUUCUGGGAGGCAGGCCCUCAUCUCAUGUGGGUAAGAGGGUGAAGAGCAGUGGGGUGAUAAUCCAGGCUUUGGGGGGAUCCUCUCUCUCUUUCUGUCUCUGCAGAACCUCAUAAAUCCUUCAAAGAGAGUAAGUAAUUCCCUCCAGAUAAAGAGGGCCUUUUGCAUUCUUGAAAUAAACGAAGGCGAAAUGUACAGAGAUUUCUGAGAAAAGUCAGUGUGGUGUGAGCAUGGGUGUUCCUAUGCAGUGGAGUGGCCUUCCCCCCUCCUCCCCUGAAUGGUGUUCUUUGCUCUCAAGUUAACUCAUGCUCUGGAUUCAGUCCAAGUACAUUUUGUUUCUUGACUGGAAGCCAGACUUCUCACAGUUAGAGAGCAUUCUCUGCUCUACUCCAGUCUUUCCCCAGGCCCCGUCUCUCAUCUCACGAUCAUUCCAACUUCUCCAUGGGGUUGAACCGAGACUGAGGAGAACCCACUGGCUUAGGGAGCAGUUCUCUCUUCCACUGAGACUGAGGCCCCAGAGGCUCCUCUGGGACCAGCCAGCCCCACACUCUGCAUCAGUCUGCUUGGACAGGCUGCUUGGAAGGCAGCUGAGGCAGAGCACUCCUGAACUCUGCCCCCUGCAAAUGCUUUCCAGAUGUGUGAACCCCUGCCUCCCGAUUCACUCUGACUGUAGCCCUGCCAACAUACAUCUGCAGAUUCCGACUGCACAGGAACUUGAAAGAGGAGCUUUGACAACAUCUGCCGCCUUUCCUCCAGCUCUGCCUCUUUGCCGUCGGAGACACUGCCCCAUAUUUCAUCUCUUCCCCUAAACAGAUCCAUUAAAGAAUGGCUGUCCUGCUC